rnacentral:rRNA from 1 species
AACGAACGCUGGCGGCGUGGAUUAGGCAUGCAAGUCGAACGCGAAAGGGGAGCAAUCCCUGAGUAGAGUGGCGAACGGGUGAGUAACACGUGAGAAACCUGCCCUCAGCAGGGGGAUAACACUCCCAACGGGGUGCUAAUACCGCAUGAGACCACGGGGUCGCAUGGCCCUGAGGUCAAAGGUGGCCUCUGCUUGCAAGCUACCGGCUGAAGAUGGUCUCGCGUCCCAUUAGCUAGUUGGUGGGGUAAUGGCCUACCAAGGCGACGAUGGGUAGCUGGUCUGAGAGGAUGGUCAGCCACACUGGGACUGAGAUACGGCCCAGACUCCUACGGGAGGCAGCAGUCGAGAGGCUUUGGCAAUGGGGGAAACCCUGACCAAGCGACGCCGCGUGGAGGAUGAAGGCCCUUGGGUUGUAAACUCCUUUUGUUGGGGAAGAAAUGCGAUCAGGUGAACAAUCUGGUCGUUUGACGGUACCCGGCGAAUAAGCUCCGGCUAACUCCGUGCCAGCAGCCGCGGUAACACGGGGGGAGCAAGCGUUGUUCGGAAUCACUGGGCGUAAAGGGCGUGUAGGCGGUUGAGUAAGUGGAAUGUGAAAUGCCCCGGCUCACCCGGGGACCGGCAUUCCAAACUGCUUAGCUCGA